rnacentral:pre_miRNA from 1 species
UUUGUACUCCCCCGUCCCAAAAUUCUUGUCUUAGAAUUGUCUAAAUACAGAUGUAUCUAGUUACAUUUUAGUGUUAGAUACAUCUGUAUCUAAACAAAUUUAAGACAAGAAUUUUAUGACGGAGGGAGUACUAU